rnacentral:tRNA from 1 species
GUGGCGCAGCUGGGAGCGCGCUUGAAUCGCACUCAAGAGGUCAGGGGUUCGAUCCCCCUC